UUGACUAAUGAAUGAUUGAUUAUCGCAGCGUCAACCAUUGGAGUUAGCCCGGUAUCUAUCCCUGGCAUAUCCAGUUUGCCUCAGAGUGACGGGCUUGCAGGACCAGCCACUAAGACUGAUUCUCAUAUGACUCCUGGCAUCCCUCAAAUGCCUACGGAUGAUGGAUCUGCAGGACCAGCCGCUUGGGCCGAUACUCUCAUGACUCUUGGCAUCCUGGCUGCAUCUGAGGACGGGGGGAUUGCAGG